AGAGUUUGAUCCUGGCUCAGAACGAACGCUGGCGGCAGGCCUAACACAUGCAAGUCGAACGAGAAGCCGCCCUUCGGGGCGGUGGAAAGUGGCGCACGGGUGAGUAACGCGUGGGAACCUACCCUGAGGUACGGAAUAACGGCUGGAAACGGCUGCUAAUACCGUAUGUGCCCUACGGGGGAAAGAUUUAUCGCCUUGGGACGGGCCCGCGUCGGAUUAGCUUGUUGGUGGGGUAACGGCCCACCAAGGCUCCGAUCCGUAGCUGGUCUGAGAGGAUGAUCAGCCACACUGGAACUGAGACACGGUCCAGACUCCUACGGGAGGCAGCAGUGGGGAAUAUUGCGCAAUGGGGGAAACCCUGACGCAGCCAUGCCGCGUGAGUGAAGAAGGUCUUCGGAUUGUAAAGCUCUUUCAACGGGGAAGAUGAUGACGGUACCCGUAGAAGAAGCCCCGGCUAACUUCGUGCCAGCAGCCGCGGCAAUACGAAGGGGGCUAGCGUUGUUCGGAAUUACUGGGCGUAAAGGGCGUGUAGGCGG
rnacentral:rRNA from 1 species